rnacentral:tRNA from 1 species
GCCUCUAUAGCUCAACGGAUAGAGCAGGCCCGUCCUAAGGGCAAGAUGAGGGUUCAAUUCCUUCUAGAGGCACCA